GAACAGAGUACGCACUGUGGACGCUUCGAGGAAGCGAGAAUCGCUCGUUUGUUCGCCGCUGAUUGAGCGUAAUGGCCGACGAAAACCUAUCCGGGGGCGUGAAUAAUUACUCCGGCAUUUCCUUCCGAUUCGAGUCUGCGCCUUCUUUGUGUCGGCGGGAUCCAAUCCGCCUCGUUAACAUUCCGACACGAUCGAAACGGUGGCGAGAGGUGUCGCGGAGUACGCGACGCCGUCGGCCACGACGUCGAGGUGACAGUUAUCCCGGCUUCCCCGGGGGUGGCCGUUCGCUAACAACGCGUCGGAAUCGGCAGACGAGCCGGCUGGUAAUGAGCACAACAUUCCACUUUCUGUUGACACAGUAGCCAUUAAGCCUUACCUGGCGGCAACAGCCGUCUUAUCGCUGACCCAAGACAAAAGUCGACCGGCGCGGGCACUACUUUUGCACAUCAUUAGUUUGCGCCCCACCAGUGCCAGGCCGAGUGUGUGUGUGACAGACUGCUGGGGCACGUUC
rnacentral:lncRNA from 1 species